AGAGUUUGAUCCUGGCCCAAGAUGAACGCUGGCGGCGUGCUUAACACAUGCAAGUCGAACGGGGAUGCCCCCUUUAAAUCUAUUCGGUUGCUAAAAGUGGAAAUGUAGUGGUCUUAGUGUCAGACGGGUGAGUAACCCGUGCGGAACCUGCCCUGUACAGGGGGAUAACACUUAGAAAUAGGUGCUCAUACCCAAUAGGCGCACAGUAUCGCAUGAUACACCGCGAAAAACUCCGGAGGUACCCGAUGGACCCCCGUCUGAUGACCUGGUUGGCGGGCUAACGGCCCACCAUGGCGACUAUGAGUAGCCGGGCUGACAGGGCGAACGGCCACGUUGCGACUGAAACACGGCCCAAACUCCUACGGGAGGCAGCUAUGGGGAAUAUUGGACAAUGGGGGGAACCCUGAUCCAACGACGCCACGUGAGUGAAGAAGUAUUUCUGUAUGUAAAGCUCUAUCAACGGGGAAGAAAAUGACGGGACCUGACUAAAAAGCUCCGGCUAACUACGUGCCAGCAGCCGUGGUAAUGCGGAGGGGGCACGCGUUAUCUCGAAUUUUUGGGUGUAAAGGGAGCGUAUACGGUGGAGCAAGUGUGAAGUGAAAGGCGGGGGCCCUACCCCAGGGCUGCUAUGGAAACUGUUUAAUUUGAGUUCAGGAGAGGUCAGUGGAAUUUCUAGUGUAGCGGUGAAAUGGGUUGAUAUUAGGAGGAACCCCCGUGGGGAAGGCGGCUUACUGGACCGUAACUGACGUUGAGGCUGGAAAGCGUGGGGAGCCAACCGGAUUAGAUUCCCUGGUAGUUCCCGCCGUAAA
rnacentral:rRNA from 1 species